GACGAACCGUGCGAACGUUGUUCGGAAUCACUGGGCUUAAAGGGCGCGUAGGCGGGUGACCAAGUCAGGGGUGAAAUCUUUCGGCUCAACCGGAAAACAGCUUUUGAUACUGGUCGUCUGGAGGGAGGUAGGGGCAUGUGGAACUUCCGGUGGAGCGGUGAAAUGUGUUGAUAUCGGAAGGAACGCCGGUGGCGAAAGCGACGUGCUGGACCUCUUCUGACGCUGAGGCGCGAAAGCUAGGGUAGCGAACGGG
rnacentral:rRNA from 1 species